UGUAAAUGUAAAUGUAGAUUCGGAGCCCUAUUCUUUCUCAAUCAACAGCGAAUUAGAAGAGGAUUUCAAUAAUUUCUCUGCCAUCUCCAUUAGUGCAGAUUGGGGGAAUGUGCAAAGCAUAGGCUGGCAGAAUUGCAUUUCACCAAUUGGGUUGUGUGCUGCUUGAAAGAAAAAGAGAAAGGAUGCUGAUAAGUUUGAGGCAGCUGUUGAAGCUGGUCAUGGUUUUUCCUUAGCCGGCACUGCCAUAUGUGUGUGCAACUUUGUAAGCAUUUGGGUUGCAUGUAAAAAAUACUAAGUUGAUUAUACAUAAAAAAGGACUCACAAUUGCUUAAAUUAUGCA